AACGUAGGAGACAAACGUUAUCCGGAGUUACUGGGCGUAAAGGGCUCGUAGGUGGCCAACUAAGUCAGACGUGAAAUCCCUCGGCUUAACCGGGGAACUGCGUCUGAUACUGGAUGGCUUGAGUUCGGGAGAGGGAUGCGGAAUUCCAGGUGUAGCGGUGAAAUGCGUAGAUAUCUGGAGGAACACCGGUGGCGAAGGCGGCAUCCUGGACCGACACUGACACUGAGGAGCGAAAGCCAGGGGAGCAAACGGG
rnacentral:rRNA from 1 species